rnacentral:rRNA from 1 species
GACAGAGGGGGCAAGCGUUGCUCGGAAUCACUGGGCGUAAAGGGCGCGUAGGCGGUGCGGUAAGUCACCUGUGAAACCUCUAGGCUUAACCUAGAGCCUGCAGGCGAAACUGCCGUGCUUGAGGGUGGGAGAGGUGCGUGGAAUUCCCGGUGUAGCGGUGAAAUGUGUAGAUAUCGGGAGGAACACCUGUGGCGAAAGCGGCGCACUGGACCACAUCUGACGCUGAGGCGCGAAAGCUAGGGGAGCAAACAGG